rnacentral:lncRNA from 1 species
AGAAGAAGCCAUUUAGAUUUUACAGAAAUGUAGCUCCUCAUACAUUAUAUUGUUCCUAUGAAGAAUUAGAUUGAAUAAAGCUGCUUUGAAUAAAGCUCGUAUUACCAGCUACCACAUGUGAUGGAAAGAAUCCAAGUUAAACACUCUCACCAGAGCAUGCUCCAAGACAGAUGACUGAGCCCCAGGCUUGGCCAAUACAAUGCACUUCUAUUCUCUAUUUAUUUUUGUAGUUCAAAGACCUGGCAGUAACCCACUUGAUGCCUGCCAUAAGGACCAGUACACUCCUGAUUACUGCCCAGCGAUUUUAUAUCUGUAUGCCAGCUACUCAGACCACGUAUAAAGACUAGGGGGAUUUUUUGAAAGGAAAAGAAACCCCGGCUUCCACUUAUACUUUGAAAUUUCAGAUGAUGUACUGCCAACUUACAGACCUUGCUUUAAUCAGCAGCCACAUGAAAAGGCUGUUUCUAUUUACUCUAGGUCAUUUAGGAAACAAGCAAUAAGUAGGCCUUGCAAAAUUUCAGCUUCUCUUAAAGUUGGCAUGUUUUCCUCAAA